AUCACCUGCAUUGGUAUUGAACUGGUGGACUUGGAGAGAGGUGGUAAAAAUCAGUCCUCUUUUGCAACCCAGAACUUAUUGUUCAGUUUAGUUUUGAUCCACAUAAUAACCAUGGUAAU
rnacentral:snoRNA from 1 species